UACGAAGGGUGCAAGCGUUAAUCGGAAUUACUGGGCGUAAAGGGCUCGUAGGCGGUUUGUCGCGUCGGGAGUGAAAACUCAGGGCUUAACCCUGAGCCUGCUUCCGAUACGGGCAGACUAGAGGUAUGCAGGGGAGAACGGAAUUCCUGGUGUAGCGGUGAAAUGCGCAGAUAUCAGGAGGAACACCGGUGGCGAAGGCGGUUCUCUGGGCAUUACCUGACGCUGAGGAGCGAAAGUGUGGGGAGCGAACAGG
rnacentral:rRNA from 1 species